UCGAACGUCAACUUAACAACUGACUCAGUAAAACAGACCAAUGGCAGCCAUCUUGGAUUUAAAAUAUGAAUUAAACAUAAAGCGCAUUUAAGUUCUGACAUUUACAAGAGCGGUGUAUAAUACCAUGAAAUGAUGUGGGCGUUUUCUAUUCGUUGCCGACAUCCUUGACUUGGAAAAUAUUCAACCGUUACGAACACAGGAAGUAAGAUGGCUGACGGCUGACAAAAAUGUGAUUUCACUCAAAGGAGUUUUACGAUUUCUAAAUGGAUAAUGACAUCUUAUGCAAAAAGGAACAAACAUAUAAAGAGACUAAGUAGAAAUUGAUUACAUGCAAUGGAUAUUACCAUUCACAAACGUGAGUAAGAAGUUGAAUACAUGCUUUAAGGAUCAGCGGUGGGUGCCUGUUUAAGAUGACAAAACAACAACAUCAAAAAGGUCAAGAGAUUAAACAGCAACUCGGUAUGGGAUAUGAACAGCAGAAUGGCUCUCAAAAUCCUUCAACUCGAGCGAGGACUGUUAAAAAGCUGCGUCAUUAUGUGCGCCAUUCUAUCAUGAAUAUCUGCUUGAUUUACCCGUCAAUGAUUGCUGUCGGGAGCCUAUAUAAUCAGGGUACAGGAUCACGUGACUUGGUGGGGUUCACAAUUUAACUACAAUAGAUGUAAAUACACCGUCGCUGCAAAUGUUCUUGCUGACAGGCGUUUACUGGAUCGUGUGGACGCCUUACGCAGUUGUCUCUUUCAUCCAGACGUUUGGCAACACGGACAUCGUGUCGCUUUGGAUGGCGGUGCUUCCGGUGCGGCGGCUAAGUCCCAGGUGGUCUGGAACCCCAUCAUCUACGUCGGCACAAAUAAGAAAUUCAGGAUGGCAUUUUACCAGAGCCUGCCAUGUACCAGGUUGAGAUACUGGUUUGAGGUUCGAGAAGAGGAAAUUGUGUCUGAAGAUACGAAACCGGAUGACACGCCUGGUCAGUCCGCACUCAGGGCAAGUCAGCAAUCGGCAUCCACUGUUAUUCCUCCAGCAACUAACAAGGUCGACACUACCAUAGUAUGUACCACUGACGUGUAGAUGAACAAACUGCACAGCGGUAGUCUCCCCUGGACCUGCACGUUAAGAAUCUAUACCAAAUAUACCUUGAAGGGAGAAUCUCCACUGAUCCUGUACCACGAACAUCAAGCCCACAUACAACUCGAAGCGGUUUUCAUUUGAAGAGAUUCGUUUUGGCCGUUGUGCUAUGACGGUCUGAAGGCUAAUAAUCACCUGAUCACUUAUGGUGUCCAAAUACAAGAUAAUACAUGUAUUUAAAAGUAAACGGUAACCGAUAAUGAACAAUUGAUAACUAACUAUUGAAAACUACUUCAUUUGAUCGAUUUCUUAUUAUUCGAGCCGAAAAACAACGAACGGUCUUCUUUAAGAUUGAAUUGGAUGUAGCUAGAAAGAGAUUGCAUUAUAUAUAGCUGACCAAAGAUGGAUGUACAUGUAGCUAGACAUAUCGAUAUUUACGAGCCUGCAUAAUCGCUUUACUUCUUACUUUGGACGCAUCUCUUGGGUUGAUUUGUUUAUAUAUUUAUGUUAUGCAUUGCUGUUUAUCACCCCUGUUAUUUGAAAUGCGGGCAUAUAUAUGUAUGCAUAUGCUAUGUUUGUAAGUUUCAAAUGCUUUGUUUCUAACCUAAAAUAAAAACAAGAGCUGUGUUCUUGAAACACAAUGCCCCAUACUGUACUUA